CAUGGUGCCACAGGGCUGACUGGUGAAAGCCAUCAUUAAGCCUACAGUAUUGUCAACUUACACGGACUGUAUCACCAUCACUACAGAUGCUGCCGGGCCCUGAGUUACUUCCAAAACACCUCAACAGAAUGAAGAAAGACAAUGGUUUCCUUCCAAGAAAUUCACCAGAGUAGAGACCUCUCCAACGAUGACAAAGCUAAAAAAAAAAAAUUCCACAAUGGUUCUUCCCUCAAUCAGCUUUCCUGUCUUCUC